rnacentral:rRNA from 1 species
AGAGCUGAUCCUGGCUCAGGACGAACGCUGGCGGCGUGCCUAAUACAUGCAAGUCGAGCGGAAUCAGAAGAGCUUGCUCUUUCUGAUUUAGCGGCGGACGGGUGAGUAACACGUGGGCAACCUGCCCUGCAGAUCGGGAUAACUCCGGGAAACCGGUGCUAAUACCGAAUAGUUUGGCGCCUCGCCUGAGGCGCCACGGAAAGACGGUUUCGGCUGUCACUGCAGGAUGGGCCCGCGGCGCAUUAGCUAGUUGGUGGGGUAAUGGCCCACCAAGGCGACGAUGCGUAGCCGACCUGAGAGGGUGAUCGGCCACACUGGGACUGAGACACGGCCCAGACUCCUACGGGAGGCAGCAGUAGGGAAUCUUCCGCAAUGGACGCAAGUCUGACGGAGCAACGCCGCGUGAGUGACGAAGGUUUUCGGAUCGUAAAACUCUGUUGUGAGGGAAGAACAAGUGCCAACUAACUACUGGCACCUUGACGGUACCUCACCAGAAAGCCACGGCUAACUACGUGCCAGCAGCCGCGGUAAUACGUAGGUGGCAAGCGUUGUCCGGAAUUAUUGGGCGUAAAGCGCGCGCAGGCGGUCCUUUAAGUCUGAUGUGGAAAGCCCACGGCUCAACCGUGGGAGGGUCAUUGGAAACUGGAGGACUUGAGUGCAGAA